rnacentral:lncRNA from 1 species
GUUUGUUGAAUGCUUUCUUACCUGCCAGGCACCGAUGAAGAGCAACUGAUUAGACUGUGACAAUCUUCACUGAGGCUGAGAAGCUCGGUGCAAGAAGCAAUUAUUAUUCUUCACAGGAGACCCAGAAGACCUUCGGCUUAGACUACUCUAGUGUGCGAGAUUUUGGGAACACUGCUAUCCUGAGCUUCUACCAGAGCUUCUGUGAGCAUGGGCAGCUGAAGGAAUGAACCACCUUUCACUAGAAGAGACUUCUGCAUGGGGAGGGGUCUGUGUCAACCUGCUCAGCCUGGAAUUCUGGGGCAGACACUUCCCAGCUAUGGGGACAUCCAGAAUUUCUCCAAAUCCCACAGCAUGAUAAGGGACAAAGACAACUCAGAUUAGGAAGAUCUCAGCCUGGUACCUCCUGGCACCCCACUCUUCACAGCAAACACAAGGAGACAGUUAGGCCACACCUACAAGCAGGGAGUAGAGGUCCUACAUCUUGGGAUACCAACUCCAGAGUCAUUCUGUGUCUGCCAGGGUGACCUGACAAGGGCCCUGAAGAUUUGGCCAGGCCUGGUACUCCCCAGUUCAAGCACAUCCAUCCUGAGGGGUCUUCAAGCCUCUGCCAAAUGGAGGAAAAUCCUCGGGUCCUGGUCAGCUGGGAAUCCUGGCUGUGUGCUAUGGGCGCCUCUAACCCACGAUCCAGCAGCCUCCCCCUGCCCUCGGCCUGAAGAGCACUGUGACUCAGGAAAAUGCACCUCCUCUCUAAUGACCAGCCCACCCACCCAGAAAGCCUUUACCCACCUGUGGAAAUGCCACCUACCAGGCCUUUGGGGGGUAGGGCUGGGAGCUAAAUUGUGAAGUUAAAACUGGCCAGUCCGAGCAGGGCGCAGUGGUGCAGGCCUAUAUUCCAUCUACUCUGGAGGCUAAGGCAGG